UACGAGGGGGGCGAGCGUUGUUCGGAGUUAUUGGGCGUAAAGGGUGCGUAGGCGGUUUGGUAAGUCUUAUGUGAAAUCUACAGGCUCAACUUGUAGUCUGCAUGAGAAACUGCCGGGCUUGAGUAUGGGAGAGGUGAGUGGAAUUCCUGGUGUAGCGGUGAAAUGCGUAGAUAUCAGGAGGAACACCUGUGGCGAAAGCGGCUCACUGGACCAUAACUGACGCUGAUGCACGAAAGCUAGGGGAGCAAACAGG
rnacentral:rRNA from 1 species